GACGAAGGGGGCUAGCGUUGUUCGGAAUUACUGGGCGUAAAGCGAGUGUAGGUGGUUGUCCAAGUUGGAUGUGAAAGCCUUGAGCUCAACUCAAGAAAUGCAUUCAGGACUGGGCGGCUAGAGGACCGGAGAGGAUAGUGGAAUUCCCAGUGUAGUGGUGAAAUACGUAGAGAUUGGGAAGAACACCGGUGGCGAAGGCGGCCAUCUGGACGGUAACUGACGCUGAGACGCGAAAGCGUGGGUAGCAAACAGG
rnacentral:rRNA from 1 species